UCAGCUGUAGGCACAAAUAUGUAGUAUAUGAUGCACCUAAUUAACCUCCCUGGAGCUGAAGCAAUAUCCUUUUAGAACACCCUGCUUUGGUCUCUUCUGGUUUUUUAUAUAAUAACAAGGAUGCCAGCAAUCCAUUUCUUAUAUUACAUAAUUUUCUUAGCUUCCUAAAAUUUUAAUUUAAUAUAUACCCUAUUAAUCUGCAUGUAGCCCU
rnacentral:lncRNA from 1 species